rnacentral:rRNA from 1 species
AGAGUUUGAUCCUGGCUCAGCUCGAACGUUGGCGGCGUGCUUGAUACAUGCAAGUCGAACGGUCUGAUUUAUCAGACAGUGGCGGAUUGGUGAGUAACACGUUGGUACCUGCCCCUAACACGAGAAUAACUUCGAGAAAUCGAAGCUAAUACUCGAUAGUCUAUAACUUAUUUUAUAUCUGUUAUAGUAAAGCUCCGGCGGUUAGGGAUGGGCUAGCGCACUAUCAGCUUGUUGGUAGGGUAAUGGCCUACCAAGGCGAUGACGGUUAGGGGGCCCGAGAGGGUGAACCCCCACAGUGGGACUGAGAUAUGGCCCACACUCCUACGGGAGGCAGCAGUAGGGAAUAUUCCGCAAUGCCCGCAAGGGUGACGGAGCGACGCCGCGUGCAGGAUGACAUUCUUCGGGAUGUAAACUGCUUUUAUAUGGGAAGAAAUCUGACUGUACCAUAUGAAUAAGUUGCGGCUAAUCACGUGCCAGAAGCCUCGGUGAUACGUGAGCAACGAACGUUGAGCGGAUUGAUUGGGCGUAAAGGGUGCGUAGGCGGUUAAGUAAGUCGAAUGUUAAAUAUUCUAACUUAAUUAGAAAAGUGCGUUCGAAACUACUUUGACUAGAACGUAAGUGGGGUGAGCGGAAUUCCCGGUGUAGGAGUGAAAUCCGUUGAUAUCGGGAGGAACACCAAUGGCGAAGGCAGCUCACUGGCUUAAUGUUGACGCUAAGUGCACGAAAGCGUGGGUAGCAAACGGGAUUAGAUACCCCGGUAGUCCACGCCCUAAACUAUGGACACUAGCUAUUGGCGGCAUCGACCCCGUCAGUAGUCACAGCUAACGCGUCAAGUGUCCCGCCUGGGGAGUACGGUCGCAAGACUAAAACUCAAAGGAAUUGACGGGGACCCGCACAAGCGGUGGAGCAUGUGGUUUAAUUCGACGCAACGCGAAGAACCUUACCAGGACUUGACAUCCCGAGAAUCCUCCUUAAUCGGAGGAGUGCCGCAAGGAGCUCGGUGACAGGUGCUGCAUGGUUGUCGUCAGCUCGUGUCGUGAGAUGUAAGGUUAAGUCCUCCAACGAGCGCAACCCCUAUUGUCUGUUUUAUAUGUCAGACGAAACUGCUCGGGUAACCGAGAGGAAGGUGGGGAUGACGUCAAAUCAGCAUGGCCCUUACGUCCUGGGCUACACACGUGCUACAAUGGGCGAGACAACGGGUAUAUGCCAAACCGCAAGGUGGAGCUAAUCCUAAUAAACUCGCUCCCAGUUCAGAUUGAAGGCUGAAAUUCGCCUUCAUGAAGUUGGAAUCGCUAGUAACUGCAGGUCAGCUAUACUGCGGUGAAUACGUUCUCGGGUCUUGUACACACCGCCCGUCACGCCACGAAAGUCAGCAACACCCGACAGUCGCGCUUGUCGCGGACUAAGGUGGGGCUGGUAAUUGGGACGAAGUCGUAACAAGGUAUCCGUACGGGAACGUGCGGAUG